CAGUCGCCGCGGUAAAACGUAGGUGGCAAGCGUUGUCCGGAAUUAUUGGGCGUAAAGGGCUCGCAGGCGGUUUCUUAAGUCUGAUGUGAAAGCCCCCGGCUCAACCGGGGAGGGUCAUUGGAAACUGGGAAACUCGAGUGCAGAAGAGGAGAGUGGGAUUCCACGUGUAGCGGUGAAAUGCGUAGAGAUGUGGAGGAACACCAGUGGCGAAGGCGACUCUCUGGUCUGUAGCUGACGCUGAGGAGCGAAAGCGUGGGGAGCGAACAGGAUUAGAUACCCCCGUAGUCCCUGUCUCUUAUAC
rnacentral:rRNA from 1 species